GUGAAUCAUCGAAUCUUUGAACGCAAAUUGCACUCUCCUGGGAGCGUAUGCGUAUUCCUGGGUCAGCCUCAAAAAAACCGACAUACUCGCUGUUUCGUGGUGACAUUGGUCGGAAAUUGGGGCAUCUUAAACCUUAUGGUUUUUAGCGGCUUAUAAUUUUGUUUACGAUCCUACGAACGUUUCUAAGAUUUACCUACACGUUUAAGGUAUUGAUUUUUAUUAGACCUGGUCGUUGCAUCUG
rnacentral:misc_RNA from 1 species